GAGUUUGAUCUUGGCUCAGGAUGAACGCUGGCGGCGUGCCUAAUACAUGCAAGUCGAGCGAACGGACGAGAAGCUUGCUUCUCUGAUGUUAGCGGCGGACGGGUAAGCAACACGUGGAUAACCUACCUAUAAGACUGGGAUAACUUCGGGAAACCGGGGCUAAUACCGGAUAAUAUUUUGAACCGCAUGGUUCAAAAGUGAAAGACGGUCUUGCUGUCACUUAUAGAUGGAUCCGCGCUGCAUUAGCUAGUUGGUAAGGUAACGGCUUACCAAGGCAACGAUGCAUAGCCGACCUGAGAGGGUGAUCGGCCACACUGGAACUGAGACACGGUCCAGACUCCUACGGGAGGCAGCAGUAGGGAAUCUUCCGCAAUGGGCGAAAGCCUGACGGAGCAACGCCGCGUGAGUGAUGAAGGUCUUCGGAUCGUAAAACUCUGUUAUUAGGGAAGAACAUAUGUGUAAGUAACUGUGCACAUCUUGACGGUACCUAAUCAGAAAGCCACGGCUAACUACGUGACC
rnacentral:rRNA from 1 species